AGGAUGAACGCUGGCGGUCUGCUUAACACAUGCAAGUCGAACGGAGUACCUCGGUACUUAGUGGCGGACGGGUGAGUAACGCGUGAGAAUCUGCCCUUAGGUCGGGGACAACCAUUGGAAACGAUGGCUAAAUACCGGAUAAGCCGAGAGGUAAAAGAUUAAUUGCCUAGGGAGGAGCUCGCGUCUGAUUAGCUAGUUGGUGAGGUAAAGGCUCACCAAGGCAUCGAUCAGUAGCUGGUCUGAGAGGAUGAUCAGCCACACUGGGACUGAGACACGGCCCAGACUCCUACGGGAGGCAGCAGUGGGGAAUUUUCCGCAAUGGGCGAAAGCCUGACGGAGCAAGACCGCGUGAGGGAGGAAGGCUCUUGGGUUGUAAACCUCUUUCUUGGGGAAGAACAAAAUGACGGUACCCAAGGAAUCAGCAUCGGCUAACUCCGUGCCAGCAGCCGC
rnacentral:rRNA from 1 species